rnacentral:sRNA from 2 species
CAAGUAAGUCAGCCUAGUCCAGUAUAUGACAACAGUAGCACUGGAACGGAGGAACCAGAUUGUGGGGCGUAUUUUUGUCUUGAUUAGUUGAUGAUUUCGCGCUUUCUAGUGGAAAAUCAUUCUAAAAUCAAGUAAAGAAGGGGUAUCUCUCAACCCUAGCCCGUCAGCUAACUUCGUAGGCAUUGAGAGGAGACUGA